AAGGAUUGUACUUGGUGGUAGAGAGCUUGCCUGGUAUGCAGGAGGCCCUGGGUUCAAUUCCCGGAACUCUCA
rnacentral:tRNA from 1 species